GACGAACGCUGGCGGCGUGCUUAACACAUGCAAGUCGAACGGAAAGGCCCUGCUUUUGUGGGGUGCUCGAGUGGCGAACGGGUGAGUAACACGUGAGCAACCUGCCCUUGACUUUGGGAUAACUUCAGGAAACUGGGGCUAAUACCGGAUAGGAGCUCCUGCUGCAUGGUGGGGGUUGGAAAGUUUCGGCGGUUGGGGAUGGACUCGCGGCUUAUCAGCUUGUUGGUGGGGUAGUGGCUUACCAAGGCUUUGACGGGUAGCCGGCCUGAGAGGGUGACCGGCCACAUUGGGACUGAGAUACGGCCCAGACUCCUACGGGAGGCAGCAGUGGGGAACAUUGCACAAUGGGCGGAAGCCUGAUGCAGCAACGCCGCGUGCGGGAUGACGGCCUUCGGGUUGUAAACCGCUUUCGCCUGUGACGAAGCGUGAGUGACGGUAAUGGGUAAAGAAGCACCGGCUAACUACGUG
rnacentral:rRNA from 1 species